GCAAGUCGAGCGGUAGAGAGAAGCUUGCUUCUCUUGAGAGCGGCGGACGGGUGAGUAAUGCCUAGGAAUCUGCCUGGUAGUGGGGGAUAACGUUCGGAAACGGACGCUAAUACCGCAUACGUCCUACGGGAGAAAGCAGGGGACCUUCGGGCCUUGCGCUAUCAGAUGAGCCUAGGUCGGAUUAGCUAGUUGGUGAGGUAAUGGCUCACCAAGGCGACGAUCCGUAACUGGUCUGAGAGGAUGAUCAGUCACACUGGAACUGAGACACGGUCCAGACUCCUACGGGAGGCAGCAGUGGGGAAUAUUGGACAAUGGGCGAAAGCCUGAUCCAGCCAUGCCGCGUGUGUGAAGAAGGUCUUCGGAUUGUAAAGCACUUUAAGUUGGGAGGAAGGGUUGUAGAUUAAUACUCUGCAAUUUUGACGUUACCGACAGAAUAAGCACCGGCUAACUCUGUGCCAGCAGCCGCGGUAAUACAGAGGGUGCAAGCGUUAAUCGGAAUUACUGGGCGUAAAGCGCGCGUAGGUGGUUUGUUAAGUUGGAUGUGAAAUCCCCGGGCUCAACCUGGGAACUGCAUUCAAAACUGACUGACUAGAGUAUGGUAGAGGGUGGUGGAAUUUCCUGUGUAGCGGUGAAAUGCGUAGAUAUAGGAAGGAACACCAGUGGCGAAGGCGACCACCUGGACUAAUACUGACACUGAGGUGCGAAAGCGUGGGGGAGCAAACAGGAUUAGAUACCCUGGUAGUCCACGCCGUAAACGAUGUCAACUAGCCGUUGGAAGCCUUGAGCUUUUAGUGGCGCAGCUAACGCAUUAAGUUGACCGCCUGGGGAGUACGGCCGCAAGGUUAAAACUCAAAUGAAUUGACGGGGGCCCGCACAAGCGGUGGAGCAUGUGGUUUAAUUCGAAGCAACGCGAAGAACCUUACCAGGCCUUGACAUCCAAUGAACUUUCUAGAGAUAGAUUGGUGCCUUCGGGAACAUUGAGACAGGUGCUGCAUGGCUGUCGUCAGCUCGUGUCGUGAGAUGUUGGGUUAAGUCCCGUAACGAGCGCAACCCUUGUCCUUAGUUACCAGCACGUAAUGGUGGGCACUCUAAGGAGACUGCCGGUGACAAACCGGAGGAAGGUGGGGAUGACGUCAAGUCAUCAUGGCCCUUACGGCCUGGGCUACACACGUGCUACAAUGGUCGGUACAGAGGGUUGCCAAGCCGCGAGGUGGAGCUAAUCCCAUAAAACCGAUCGUAGUCCGGAUCGCAGUCUGCAACUCGACUGCGUGAAGUCGGAAUCGCUAGUAAUCGCGAAUCAGAAUGUCGCGGUGAAUACGUUCCCGGGCCUUGUACACACCGCCCGUCACACCAUGGGAGUGGGUUGCACCAGAAGUAGCUAGUCUAACCUUCGGGAGGACGGUUACCACGGUGUGAUUCAUGACUG
rnacentral:rRNA from 1 species